rnacentral:rRNA from 1 species
GACGAACGCUGGCGGCGUGCUUAACACAUGCAAGUCGAACGAUGACGACCGAGCUUGCUCGGUCUGAUUAGUGGCGAACGGGUGAGUAACACGUGAGCAACCUGCCCUUCACUCUGGGAUAACCUCGGGAAAUCGGGGCUAAUACCGGAUAUGAGCUCCUGUCGCAUGGCGGGUGUUGGAAAGUUUUUCGGUGAAGGAUGGGCUCGCGGCCUAUCAGUUUGUUGGUGAGGUAGUGGCUCACCAAGGCGAUGACGGGUAGCCGGCCUGGGAGGGCGACCGGCCACACGGGGACUGAGACACGGCCCAGACUCCUACGGGAGGCAGCAGUCGGGAAUAUUGCACAAUGGGCGAAAGCCUGAUGCAGCGACGCCGCGUGAGGGAUGACGGCCUUCGGGUUGUAAACCUCUUUCAGCAGGGAAGAAGCGAAAGUGACGGUACCUGCAGAAGAAGCGCCGGCUAACUACGUG